ACGGCGGGGCAGACGCGGGGCCGCAGCUCCCCCUCCGCGGGACUGGACACAGACAACAGACACGAGGAACUGCGCACCCCCAAACCCGCCCAGCCCGGCCCUCUCCGGGGCCGCCAGCUAUGCCAUCUGGCUCAUGUAACCAGAAGACAACUUGGCACCCACAGCCACCCAGAAUGACCGGCAAUUCUCAAAACAUCUUAUUUGUCUUUGCCAAGAACUAAGUAACAACUGAUCUCCAAAUAGCAUAAUUUCAAAUAAAUUAGCAUUCUCAUCUCAACUGACUCACAUGGCAGAAUCCAACCUACAUGCUGUGAGAAGAACAAAGGUGGGAGAAUAAUUCAGAACAAAUGGAAGAGGCAGGUGGAAGAGGCUGUGGAUAGUAACAGCACCAUUGAAUGCUCCAGUUAUGAAAAAAAUACAGAUUAUAAUGUUCAGAAAUCAGAACUGUGAGAAGUCAGGCUGUUUCCC